rnacentral:rRNA from 1 species
AGUGAACGCUGGCGGUAGGCCUAACACAUGCAAGUCGAACGGCAGCACAGUAAGAGCUUGCUCUUACGGGUGGCGAGUGGCGGACGGGUGAGGAAUACAUCGGAAUCUACUUUUUCGUGGGGGAUAACGUAGGGGAACUUACGCUAAUACCGCAUACGACCUACGGGUGAAAGCAUGGGAUCUUCGGACCUUGCGCGAUUGAAUGAGGCGAUGUCGGAUUAGCUAGUUGGCGGGGUAAAGGCCCACCAAGGCGACGAUCCGUAGCUGGUCUGAGAGGAUGAUCAGCCACACUGGAACUGAGACACGGUCCAGACUCCUACGGGAGGCAGCAGUGGGGAAUAUUGGACAAUGGGCGCAAGCCUGAUCCAGCCAUGCCGCGUGGGUGAAGAAGGCCUUCGGGUUGUAAAGCCCUUUUGUUGGGAAAGAAAAGCAGCAGGUUAAUACCCCGCUGUUCUGACGGUACCCAAAGAAUAAGCACCGGCUAACUUCGUG